UACGAGGGGUGCAAGCGUUGCUCGGAAUUAUUGGGCGUAAAGGGUAUGUAGGUGGUCUCAUUUGUCCGGGGUGAAAGCCCCGGGCUCAACCUGGGAAUUGCAUUUGAGACUGCAUUGCUUGGGUGCGGAGGAGGGAAGCGGAAUUUCCGGUGUGGCGGUGAAAUGCGUAGAUAUCGGAAGGAACACCAGUGGCGAAAGCGGCUUCCUGGUCCGACACCGACGUUCAGGCACGAAAGCGUGGGGAGCAAACAGG
rnacentral:rRNA from 1 species